CGGCGCCGAGGCGGGUAGCAACAGUUGCCCCGGUGAGGGAACACGGGCGGGCGCCAUAGCCACGGUAGCCCUGGCGACCGCGCGCCGGGCCGCAGCCCCCGCCGUAGGCCCCGUCCCCGUCCCCGCCGCCCUCCCCCGUCCCCUCCGCCGCCCCCGGGCCGGGCCGGGCCGGGCGGGGCUCAGCGGGAGUGCGGCGGGAGGCGGCGGCCCCGGGCAGGUUCCCUAAAUCACCGCUUUUGGCCCCAUUUAACCCCCCUCCCCCCCCCCCCACCAUCUCCAUGGCGACGCAGCCCUACGUCCCCGAACUGCCCC
rnacentral:lncRNA from 1 species